GACUGCCGGUGUUAAACCGGAGGAAGGUGGGAUGACGUCAAGUCCUCAUGGCCUUUAUGCCCAGGGCUACACACGUGCUACAAUGGGUGGUACCAAAGAGAGGCAAGCUCGCGAGAGUAAGCAAAUCUCAAAAAGCCAUCCUCAGUUCGGAUUGAAGUCUGCAACUCGACUUCAUGAAGUUGGAAUCGCUAGUAAUCGCGGAUCAGCAUGCCGCGGUGAGUACGUUCCCGGGCCUU
rnacentral:rRNA from 1 species